CGUCUUGAAACACGGACCAAGGAGUCUAGCAUGUGCGCGAGUCAUUGGGACUCUCUAAACCUAAAGGCGCAAUGAAAGUGAAGGGCCGCCUCGCGCGGCCCGAGGGAGGAUGGGCGUCGGCUAAUUUAGUCGCGUCCCGCACUCCCGGGGCGUCUCGCUCUCAUCGCGAGAAGAGGCGCACCCAUAGCGUACACGCUGGGACCCGAAAGAUGGUGAACUAUGCCUGGUCAGGACGAAGUCAGGGGAAACCCUGAUGGAGGUCCGUAGCGAUUCUGACGUGCAAAUCGAUCGUCGGAACUGGGUAUAGGGGCGAAAGACUAAUCGAACCAUCUAGUAGCUGGUUCCCUCCGAAGUUUCCCUCAGGAUAGCUGGCGCUCGUUUUUAACGAGUCUCAUCCGGUAAAGCGAAUGAUUAGAGGCAUUGGGGUCGAAACGGCCUCAACCUAUUCUCAAACUUUAAAUGGGUGAGAUCUCCGGCUUGCUCGAUUGUGAAGCCGCGAGAUUUCGGAUCAGAGUGCCAAGUGGGCCAUUUUUGGUAAGCAGAACUGGCGCUGUGGGAUGAACCAAACGCGUAGUUAAAGCGCCAAAAUCGACGCUUAUGGGAUACCAUGAAAGGCGUUGGUAACUUAAGACAGCAGGACGGUGGCCAUGGAAGUCGGAAUCCGCUAAGGAGUGUGUAA
rnacentral:rRNA from 1 species